rnacentral:sRNA from 1 species
UAUUUCUAUUGGAAUUGAAUUUUAUUUCAAAUUUUAUGAAAAUCAAAAAAAAAAAUCCAAAAUUCAUUCCAGCAGAAAAUAUGCCACGACAUUUUGGACUAAAGACCAUAUAAACUAUGGAAACAUGGAGCAUACUGGUCAUGGCUGUUCGAUAGACUAGGAGCUCAACAACUAGCAGCUGAAUAGGGAGAUUGGUUUAUAUGGAUAAGCAAAAACCGCCAUUUUAUCGCCAUCGCUAUAUAGUAUGCAUAGUUUCAAGCAGAUGCAAAUUAGCCCAUGAAUAUUUCAUUAGAGAACUUCGCUUAUAUCGAUGAGUGCUGUCCGAUACAAGAGAAAUUUGCAUGCCUGAUUAUCAAAGGAUUUAAACCCAAGCGUUCAGCGUCAGAGGCGGACAUGCUAUCCUCUGAACUACGGUGGCCCCGCAUAGUUUCGAACACAUCCCAUAAUAAUGGUGCCUUCUAGAGAUCCAGAUUCAAAAACCUCAGAUCUCGGUAAGGAUUAAAGUAAUCUAAGAGAACUGUUUUUGGACCGAUAAUGACAACUUUAAAUAACAGUCAUUUGGGGACCCGUAUCUGGUAGUCCGCUGCUCACUUAAACUCACCACACAGACAUGUAACCCCAUCGUAAAACAAUUUGUUCAGUACAAGUGAUUUUCUUCAUAUAAAAAAACCUUCCAGAAGUUGCGUCUGAAAUAAUUAAAUAAAAUUACAAUGACUGUACCUUUU